CCUACGGGAGGCAGCAGUGGGGAAUAUUGGGCAAUGGAGGAAACUCUGACCCAGCGACGCCGCGUGCGGGAUGAAGGCCUUCGGGUUGUAAACCGCUUUCAGUAGGGAAGAAGCGAAAGUGACGGUACCUACAAAAGAAGCACCGGCUAACUAUGUGCCAGCAGCCGCGGUAAUACAUAGGGUGCAAGCGUUGUCCGGAAUUAUUGGGCGUAAAGAGCUCGUAGGUCGUUUGUUACGUCGGAUGUGAAAACCCUGAGGCUCAACCUCAGGCCUGCAUUCGAUACGGGCAAACUAGAGUUUGGUAGGGGAGACUGGAAUUCCUGGUGUAGCGGUGGAAUGCGCAGAUAUCAGGAGGAACACCAAUGGCGAAGGCAGGUCUCUGGGCCAAUACUGACACUGAGGAGCGAAAGUCUGGGGAGCGAACAGGAUUAGAUACCCUGGUAGUCCAGACCGUAAACGGUGGGCACUAGUUGUGGGAACCUUCCACGGUUUCUGCGACGUAGCUAACGCAUUAAGUGCCCCGCCUGGGGUAGUACGANCGCAGAUAACUACAAGAAGUAGCGCGNGNGAGNGCGACGGCGACGACGAGGAGAGG
rnacentral:rRNA from 1 species